GGGGAAUUCCGGAGUUAACUCCCAACCCCUGUGAACAUACCAAUUGUUGCCUCGGCGGAUCAGCCCGCUCCCGGUAAAACGGGACGGCCCGCCAGAGGACCCCUAAACUCUGUUUCUAUAUGUAACUUCUGAGUAAAACCAUAAAUAAAUCAAAACUUUCAACAACGGAUCUCUUGGUUCUGGCAUCGAUGAAGAACGCAGCAAAAUGCGAUAAGUAAUGUGAAUUGCAGAAUUCAGUGAAUCAUCGAAUCUUUGAACGCACAUUGCGCCCGCCAGUAUUCUGGCGGGCAUGCCUGUUCGAGCGUCAUUUCAACCCUCAAGCCCCCGGGUUUGGUGUUGGGGAUCGGCGAGCCCUUGCGGCAAGCCGGCCCCGAAAUCUAGUGGCGGUCUCGCUGCAGCUUCCAUUGCGUAGUAGUAAAACCCUCGCAACUGGUACGCGGCGCGGCCAAGCCGUUAAACCCCCAACUUCUGAAUGUUGACCUCGGAUCAGGUAGGAAUACCCGCUGAACUUAAGCAU
rnacentral:rRNA from 1 species